ensembl:snoRNA SNORA73 Small nucleolar RNA SNORA73 family
UUUAGGUUUUCUUGAACUGUGAAGAAUGCCAUUGUCACCUGUAUAUUUUUACUACUUCUCAGAGUCUUAUAGACUAUGACUAAGGAGACAAGCCAUGCAGGAAACAAAA